rnacentral:rRNA from 1 species
AACGAACGUUAGCGGCGCGCCUAACACAUGCAAGUCGCACGAGAAAGGGCUUCGGCCCCGGUAAAGUGGCGCACGGGUGAGUAACACGUGGGUAAUCUGCCCUCGAGCAGGGGAUAACAUUCCGAAAGGAGUGCUAAUACCGUAUAAGACCACGACCUCGAAAGAGGAUGCGGUCAAAGCUGGCCUCUAUACAUAAGCUAGCACUUGAGGCUGAGCCCGCGGCGCAUCAGGUAGUUGGUGAGGUAAUGGCUCACCAAGCCUAAGACUCGUAGCGGGUCUGAGAGGAUGAUCAGCCACACUGGAACUGAGACACGGUCCAGACUCCUACGGGAGGCAGCAGUGGGGAGUCUUGCGCAAGGGGCGAAAGCCUGACGCAGCGACGCCGCGUGAGUGAUGAAGGCCUUCGGGUUGUAAAGCUCUGUGGGGAGAGACGAAUAAGUGCAGCCUAAUACGUUGCAUGAUGACGGUAUCUCCUUAGCAAGCACCGGCUAACUCUGUGCCAGCCGCCGCCGUAACAC